UGGCUCUCUUUUUUUACCCUUCCUCCUCCAGCAGCACAAUAUGAUCCACCAGUAAGCAGGGACACCAAUAAGGCAUCUGAAAAGAUAAGUCUUAUAAAAUAUAUAGAUUUAUGAUAACUAAGACUGAGCUAACAGAUGAGAAGUUCUAGUCAUUGGCCAAGCAGCUUUAAACCUAAUACAAGUUUCUGUAUAUUCAUUUGGGCCUAACUCAGGCAGGCGGCUGGCAUAAAGCUCACCCGUGGCGGUGGGGCUCAGGCAGCUUUUGGCAGAAAGAUUUAUCGUAACAUACAUAUGCAAAUUUUUAUAAUCAUAGAGGGAUUUGGGACAGACUCCAGUGAAUGCAGAUCUGCCAAACUCUGGACAUAUUCCUGACUCACACUGAAUAAACUUUAUGGAUAGACAUCUGCCUAGACAAAGAAUCGGACUUCAGUCAUGAGCCCUAACUCACAGGCAUGAGGAGCUGAGCCUGAAUCCUCAGAACACCCUGAGAAGGCAGGGCGUGGGACAUCAGACCUCAUCUGUUACAGGGGAACCGAAAAACAGAAGAGGACUGAAACAAAGAGAGUCAUUCCCUCGGUGACAUAGCCACUGACAUGCAAAUGCCCAGCUGUCUGCUCCUGCUGCCCUGAGUGCUGUCACACCUUCAGUGGGAUGGACGGCACCCUGCUAAACCAUGACCUAGGAUAAAUCAUUGCUCCCGUCAAUUGCUUUCUGUUGGUCAUUUUGCCACAUCGAUGAAAAGCAAAUCCAGUAUGGAAACGCAACACCAAGAAGAGGAGCAAUUGUUUGGACUAUCUGACUUCUCGUGCCUUGUAGGCCUUUGUGGCUGGUUUGUAGAGAGAAUUUUGAGGAGUUUGGACCUGUAGAAUAUAUCAGCCCUUGAGUGUUAGAAGCAGAGUUUAAUUGGUCAUUCAGAUGGAAGCUGGUGAAACAUGAAUUCUGAGAAAAAUUCAGACAGUGGGAGCCUAGAAGCCUGGCUUAUAAGGUAUCACUGAAAAAUGAGGUCUCUGUUAGGACUUCAGUUAUAGGACACUCAUGUUAAAUUAUUCCUGAGUCUGGAAAGCUGAGUUUAAAAGUAAUGGACCAAGUCAUUUGGCAGAGGGAUUUUCAAGAUCACGUAAAUGCUUAGCCUGUAGUGUGGUCAUUGUUCACUGCCUCUACUGAGGUUUAGAAGGAGAAUUAAGGAGAAAGCUUGCACUUUGCACUGCAACCAUAGGAAAUGUGCCCGAGGACAAGACCUUACCAAGCAAAGGCUGCAGUUGGGGACAAUGAAAAUGCACCUGAAAGGAAGGCUGAAUUGGGAACACCAGUGUAGUAGCUCCCUGUUCAAAAACAGCUACCAAGGGAUACAUCUAUCUACAAAACAAUUCCUGCAGCUAAGGUUUGGGGAACAUUAUGGAAAAGAGGGCUGAAAUAUUGUCAGAGCCAGAAGAUCAGGGCAUUCGCUAAGAGUGUGAGUCUCCUAGUAGUGUCAGAAGCUAGAAGCUACACACAUAAUUUCUCACCAACAGGGCUGACUAGACUUCGGCUGAAGAAGCAAAACAAAAAUGCACAAAAAUAGACAUGCUAAUGUAGAGGGGGAAACAUGAAGAAUUACAAGUAGACCAGGCAUUGGUGGUCUACACCUUUAAUCCCAGCAUGCAAGAGGCAGAGGCAGGUGGAUUUCUGUGAGUUCGAGGCCAGCCUGGUCUCCAGAGUGAGUGACAGGACAGCUCCAAAGCUACACAGAGAAACCCUGUCUCGGGAAAAAAAAAAAAAAUCAACAAAAGAGAAUUACAGUCAAGUACAGAAGGCUGAGUGGUGUGUGUGUGUGUGUGUGUGUGUGUGUGUGUGUGUGUGUGUGUGUGUGUGUGUGUGUGUGUGUAAUAACAACUAAUUGUUUUAAGGAGUCCAUGAUUUUGAAAUAGAACCGGAGUGGGUUUGUAGAGAGAAAAUGGGAGGCUUUGUAGAGAGGAGAGGGAAUGGAGAAAUGUCAGAAUUGUAAUCUCAAAAAAAGAAAAAAAACAUAACUUUUUAAAACUGCCUAAGGAAAUUUUUCAUAGGUUUGUCCAAUAAGACGCCCAAAGCUCUACAGCUAUGGUGGAAGGGACUGCAUCUUGAGCUGACAGCAGUAACGUCCACAUGAGGGUUCUCUUAAAGGAUAAAAACUCCAAGAGUUUCAAAAAGAUGCUGAGGCCACACAGUAUGUGGAGGGUCGAAUUCCUUGAAAGGUACCUCUUAAAGGACAUUGUAUGAAGUUGUGAAGGUGAGGUCUAAGCUGCAGUGAAGACCAUCCCAAGACUGGGAGACAUCCUCGGAGGAAAGCCAAUCCAAGAAAGAGGCUGUGUGUUCUAAACUCAGAAAAGCCAGAGGGAUGCUGCUACCCAAACCAUGAAAGCCCAGCCAGUGUCAUUCCAGGCCCCGUGUGCUUUGGUGUUUGUGCUGCUUGGUUUCAGUCUUGCAUUGACCCCAUCGCUCCUCACUCUUAUUCUGUUUCUCUUUUGGAACGGGAAUGUUUACUCUGUAAUUGGAAAUAAGUAAAAUUUUUUAUUAAUGGCAUAGAGUUAAGAGUUUGUCUUGAGUCUCAGGAGACUUUGGACUUUCGUAUUGUGUUGGCAGCUUUUUGACUCUUACAAAUAGAUGGCAUGGGGUUUGUAUUGACAUGGCAAUAAGCCUUUGAGGACCACCGGUGGGAUGUUGUCAUUUUGAAGUGCUAUUUUUGGGUUUCACAUUGACAAAGGUGGAUCUGUGAUGAGUAAUCUUCCUUGACACCUUGUCCACAUUUGGAAUCACUUGGGGUGCACACACAUCUUUAUAUUUCUAGGGGGGGUUGCGCCAGAAACUUUUAACUUAGGAAGGAAGCUCCAUUCUGAUGUGAGAGGUAUUCUCCAAAAGUCUUGUGUCCUAGACUAAAUAAAAAUGGAAGCAGGAAUGCCAGCCUACCCAAUCUCAGCUCUCUGAUCUUCUGAGAUGUAAGGAUCCUUCUGCUUCCAUGAGCUCUGGCUUGGUUUGGUGCCAUGAUGAAUUAUACCAUCCAAAACCAUGAGCCCCAGCAUAUCCUAUUUCUCGAAAGUUGCUCAUUGUCAGGCAUAUUUGAAACAAAAAAGAAAAAAGCGUUAGAUGCAUUGAUUUUAUAACCAUCUGAAAAAUCUUCGCUUAGACCUACAAAAUAUUACUUCAUAACUGGUGCCGUCAAUGAGUCUUCAAUAAGUGAUUCCAACAUUCUAUAAAGCUGGCUACUUCAGAAUAUCAAGGAAGACAAUAAAGUUGAUGGAUGCUAACAGCAAGAGCCUUUGCCACUGUUCUGCGAAGUGGGUUCCUAGACCAGAAUCGAUACUGUGUGAAAUUCCAUUGCCAACAGAUAAGACAUCCCACAAUUCCACUGAUAAUCAUUUGGACAAAAACAUCGUACAUAAAGAAAGCAAGUCUAUAUCCAUAGUACACAUCUAUUUCAGUAAUAGAAGAAGAUACUUCCCUUCCAUGGCUAAAGCAGCCCAAGGUGAUUAACCUGUCAUAAACCAGUUAGUUGACCACCAUAGGCGAUUGUGGCUUAUCGAGGACUGAGCAGGACCUAAUGCAAAGAGACUAGCCACUAGGCAGUGGCCAUGACAAGGUCAUCCUUGGGAAGUAGACACUAAGCACUCGGCAGUGACCAUGACAAUGUCAUCCUUGGGAGAGAGAAGCCUGGGCCACUUCCUGAGUGCUCCUAGUCAUAAUCUGCCAAUGGCGUUGCUUUCUAAGUCCCCAACCAUCCAGCUAAACCACUGGCUCAAUAAAUCAUUAUACAUCUGGCCACCUAUCCUUUUAGCCAAAGUGAACUACCAUGUGUAGCUCCAUGAAUUUCUGGCCACUUGGAUGAUUUAGUGUCUUCAUAUUUUUCAGGGAUGGCCCAAAGUAGGACACCUGCAACUAUCCAUCUGCAAGUGGUACCAGUUUAUCAUAGAGAACUGUUUGUAAGCCUUAUUCUUCUCGUCCUCUACCAACUAGUCCUCAGAAACUCCCAAAAGACCAGUGUUUCAGGCUGGGAAAGAAAAGGCAACCUAACCUGCAUAGAGACCAUGGACACCAGAGCUGUUUCUUCCCGUAACUUAACUGUGUUUCAGGACUUGAGUGUGUCCUGUCAUGUCUAUUGUCUUUCUGUCUCUUGCUGUGUGUACCAAGCUUUACAGUUUGGUAGGGCAAAUAUCACUCAAUACCUGGUGGAUAGCUCCUGGUGGCAUAUGGCCAAGUAUUCGGUUUUACUAAUGCUACAUACUACUUCCCAAAAGUUCAGUUAGUAUGGAGGAUUGUAAGACUUCACUCUAAGACAUGAAGGACCUGAAAGUGUCCUCUAGGAACAAAAGAAAGGCUCCAAAAUAGUGUCCCCACCUGGUACUGAGCAUUCAAAGACUGCUUAAAGUGGACUGUACAACCCAAAUUGAAAGUGAUCUUGUACAGCCAUCAGGGCUUUCUCUUUUGUUGGGCUCCACUAAUGAUAUAAGAAGACUGAAACAGUUGUAAUAAAAAUCACUAAAAGCUACAAAGCUCCAGUGUCUAAUAUAUAGUAGCAUUGUUAAACUGAAGAAUAAUCAUAAUACAGGACGCUAUGUAACAACAAAUGAGGAUGUCUGCUAUAAGUAGCAUCACCUUGAAUCUCACAGAGAAAGCAACAAAUUAGUGAGGGGGACGGGGAAAGCCAACCACAAAAGACUGCACAUUGUAUAAUUCAAUUAUGUGAAAUCCAAGAACUUAAACAAACUGUGGUGUUUGAGAAGCCAGAGUUUCUGUUACUUGAUUUAGUGGGGUAGACAGUAGAAGUAUGGGAUUAGAAACAGGCAGAGAGGAUCCCUCUGGGAUACAGAAAAUACUCUCUAUAUAUUACAUGGUAUGGAAUGUAUAUAUCUAAAACCCAUUGAUUGUGCAGUUAGGAUUUUUUACUAUCUAGAACUCAGUAAGCUUUUUGUUUUCAUGAAAAUCAUCCCUUUCCUCCCAACAGCUAGACAUUGCUGAAAUUAUAUACAGUGGUGUUUCUAGUCUGCUGCUCUUCCUCUUAACAACCACCCACUAUGGGUUAUCCAUAUUUUUUUUCAUAAGGGAGUUCCUAUUAGAAAAGUGUGUAUCCUGACCACAACAGAAAAUUCCAAAAUAAAAAUUUAAAUACAAUUUAGCAAAAACAUUUAACAAAGAAUCGUUUUCAUUACACAUGCAAAUUUGGGGCAGAUGUGUUCAGCAGAAUAACCCAGGCCUACCCACCACUAGGAUAAAAGUAAAACUUAGUAGGCAGUUCUGAAAUAUUGUAAUGACUUCCCCUGGGUUCCUUUCCAAGGCUGCAGUGGGAACACAGAAAUGCUAAAAAAGGCAUUCCUCUUUCAGAACAUGUGACUGGAACUCUCAGUGCUAGAUGGUUGGGAAAUUCGGCUGAGCCUUGAGGACUAAGCUUUGAAGUCUUUGAGCAACCCUAAUAAAGAAAAGGUAACAUUCAUUUAGAAAAGUGUGUGUGUGUGUGUGUGUGUGUGUGUGUGUGUGUGUGUGUGUGUGUGUGUGUGUGUGUAGAUAGAUGUAGACAGAUGGAUAGAUGGAUGGAUGGAUGGAUGGAUGGAUGGAUGGAUGGAUGGAUGGGAUAUGGGUAGGUCUGAAACUAUCAACAAGGUUAGCAGAAUUCUACAACUCAUAGUAACUAAGCAACCUUCUCCAAAAUUUCAAAAAUAUUUAGUUGGUUAUCCCAGGUAAAGCCUACAUCAUCUAGUCACCAGACUCUGUCAUGUGGUCAUGUGGCCUGCUCCCUGCCCCCAUUUGUUUGGUGUGGCUCAUCUCUAGACUCAAACACCGGUGAAGGUUUCAUUGCAUGCUUAGAUAAGUCACAGUCACUGUUUACACCCAUAAAAGGCAUGACUGCCUUUUUUUUUAUUGUAUCUGAAUGAAAAAAAAGUAUUAACUUUAACACCAAGAUACCGCAACUGGUGAUUUCUGAUCAAUACUGCCUUCGUUUGUAGUUCCUCUUGAGAAUGCUGGUUUUGGGGAGCUCAGUAGGAUCCAUGACUUCAGCCCCCUUUGCUGUCUUUGACUACCCACUCGAGAAGCUGUGAGAUGAAUAAGGUAAUUCAUCUCUGUUCACACAGUGGUGAUUUAUCUAAUCUUAAUGCAGGGGUGGAACCUGGAGUGUCUGCCUGCUACGCUAAGUGUCCUACUGCUGACCUAUAUCCCCAGCGCCCCUCUCCCACAUCUUCAUAGCCAUCUGCUCGUGACCUUGGGCCAAACACUCCUUUGGUCUCCCAGACUCUACCAGUCAAUGGUUCCCACAGUCUACUGUUUCUCACAUAGCCUCUUCAAGUAUCCUACAAGUAACAGAUUAGGAAACAGAUGCUGCUAUUGGAAGUCUAACGUAGAAGCAAUUCCCGUAUUAGCUAAAAAUUCCUGACCUUACUAGCUCUCCGGUACUUCCCUGGUACACGGUGCUACUAACUCAGGCAAACCUGAGGUUGUCUGGUCAGGCUCCACCAUCUCACAACCUGUGUGUUACUGGGACAGCAUCUUCAGUGCACCAGCUGUAGGAGAGCCUCGUCAUUUCCUGCAUUCGCUGAUGGCUACUCAUGAUGGACACUCAAAGGCUACAUGCUUCCUUUUCUUUCUAAGCAAGGACCAUAUACUAGUCUGGUGUGAUCAUGUUCAUCAGUGCCUAGUUUACAAGAAAAAAAAACACGGUGAUGCAAAAAAAAAAAAAACACUGUGAUAUUCACAAACCUUUUAAGAAACAUAAAUAGCGUAAGUAGAAGUUGGGGGCUUAGCCGGGUGGUGGUGGCACAUGCCUUUAAUCCUAGCACUCGGGAGACAGAGGCAGACGGAUCUCUGUGAAUUCGAGACCAGCCUGGUCUACAAGAGCGAGUUCCGGGACUGCAUCCAAAGCCACAGAGAAAGCCUGAAUCGGAAGAAGAAAAAAAGGAGAAGAAGAAGUUGUGGGCUUGGGCUAUUAGGCUGUGGAAUAAAGAGAUGUGUCACAUAUAAGAAACUUCUGACCUCUUGGAAAUAUUUGAUGAGUGGUCCAGACAGGGAACACAUAAGUGGUCCUCGGUUCAGUGCCUCACUGGAAACAUGUUCUAUGCUCUUUCCUCAGGUCCUUCUGCAUAAAAAAUAACUGUAAUGGGUAGGUGAAGUCAAUUCAAGAGGAGGCCCAUUUGGUUUGGGGCUAAGUUACCUGUCCCAAUAUGUAUUCCUG
rnacentral:lncRNA from 1 species